rnacentral:rRNA from 1 species
UACAGAGGUCUCAAGCGUUGUUCGGAUUCAUUGGGCGUAAAGGGUGCGUAGGUGGCGCUGUAAGUCGGGUGUGAAAUUUCGGAGCUUAACUCCGAAACUGCAUUCGAUACUGCCGUGCUUGAGGACUGGAGAGGAGACUGGAAUUUACGGUGUAGCGGUGAAAUGCGUAGAUAUCGUAAGGAAGACCAGUGGCGAAGGCGGCAUCCUGGACCAACACUGACACUGAGGAGCGAAAGCCAGGGGAGCAAACGGG